rnacentral:misc_RNA from 1 species
AACCUUAUGGACCUGCGGGCGUAUACCUGCGGAAGGAUCAUUACACAUAUAAAGUAUGCCUGGGAAAAUUCGAAAGAAAAGUACCCAGGCGUAUUCUUAUACCCAUGUCUUUUGCGUACUACUUGUUUCCUUGGUGGGCUUGCCUGCCAUUAGGACACCCCUACAAACCUUUUGUAAUUGCAGUCAGCGUCAGAAAAUAACGUAAUCGUUACAACUUUUAACAAUGGAUCUCAGAUCGGA